rnacentral:lncRNA from 1 species
AAGCAACAAAAGCAGAGAUUUAUUGAAAACAAAAGUACACACCACACAGGGUGGGAGUGGCCCAAGCAUAGGGGUUGAAGAGCCCCAUUACAGAAUUUCCUGGGGUCUAAAUACCCUCUAGAGGUUUCCAUUGGAUACUCGGUGUAUGCCCUAUGUAAAUGGAGAGGAUAUUCCCUGUCAUAGCUGAAGUGUUUCCAUUUGAUUCACUUCUAGGAAGUCCAGCAUGAAUUGGCCUUAGGUUCCCUGCCUCCAGACCAUAUUCUCCUGCCUUAUUUCUCCCCUGAGAGAUGUGACCCCAUAAAUCUUUAUAGAAGGCAGAGGAACGGAUGGUCUUUCUUCUUUAACUACUUUAUGCUGGCUUAGGGCAUAGUCCCUACCUAUUGGGGAUCAUGGAACGCUAGCCCUGCUCUGUUUAGUGGAGGGAGGAUAGUUCCUUGAUGGCCGGGGGUGGUCUCUUCACUUGGAACUGGCUGGAACCCAUGUUGCAUGAUCAUCUGAAGCUUGAUGGUCUCUUAAGGAUUCCAAUGGAUAUACAGUUCCAAGAAUGUGGAGGGACCCUUCUCAGUUGUGAGAUUAUAAACCCAAAGUUCAAGGUCCCAAAAUUUUGCUGUAGUGUGGAUGGCAAGGACAGUCUUUCUCUGAUGUUCUCAGAAGAUCCAAACCAUAAAAAGCUUUCUUUACCUUUUUGCUGGCAUGUCAGGCUUCUGAGUUCUUUCUCCCUGAGUGGCCCUAGUGGCCCUGCUUAACUGUAUGCAGACAAACACAUUGCUGAAACUCAUGUGAGUUUGCCCGAGCUGCACCAAAUGUAGGGAUCAGGGACCACAACUGGAAAAGAUAAAAAAUUGUCCUUCAGAGUGGCCCUGGCCAGAAGCCUGCAGUUGCCUCUGUGUUUAGGCGCUGCCCACCAAGUGUCCCAAGUUGGAAAGGAAAAGAGAGAGAGAGAGAGAGAGAGAGAGAGAGAGAGAGAGAGAGAAAGAGAGAGACUCACUUGUAUAGAGCAGAAAAGAAAGGGGAAAGGAGAAAAAUAAAUCCCAAACUUUGGGCUUACCUCCUGGCUGGUUCACUAAGAUAUGUUACCAGUUAAAGGUGUCCAGGUUCUUGGCGUCUUGAACAAAGAAUUGGACAAAACACACAAACAAAGCAAGGAAAGAAUGAAGCAACAAACACAGAGAUUUAUUGAAAAUGAAAGUAUACCCCAUAGGGGCGUCGAGCAUAGGGGCUCAAGAGCCCCAUUACAGAGUAUUCUGGGUUGAAAUAUACUCUAGAGGUUUCCAUUGGUUACUUGGUGUAUGCCCUAUGUAAAUGAAGAGGAUAUUUCCUGUCGUAGCUGAAGUGUUUCCAUUUGAUUUAGUUCUAGGAAGUCCAGCGUGGAUCGGCCUUAGGUUCUCUGCCUCCUGCCUCAGAAGAACAGAGGAGCGUCAGGGACCCAAAAUACCCCUGUGGCUGCCCUCAUGCUGGCCCUUAGCAAUCAAAGAAAUACAGAUUUAAAUACUAAGGAUUUUGUUUUGUUUUAUAUCUAGGAGGAGGUCCCUAGUUUGGAGAACAGGCUGUUUCAUACCCAGCUUGAGACACAGCAUUGGCACAAACCUUGCUGAGGAGCAAUUUGGCAAUAUGUUCCCUAUGCCCUAAAAAUUGCCUCAGUAAUUUCACUUCUGUAAUACUCUUCUUAGGAAACAAUUAUAGGUAAGUAAAAGAUUUAGCUACAAUAAUACUUAUUUUGCUACUUAUAAUAGCAAAAAUAUUGAAGACAUUCUAAAGAUUCAUCAAUAGCAUGGCUGUUUAAGUAACUUAUGUCUCAGGACAGAAUAUUGGCAACCAUUAAAUUUCAGCUGCAUGGCCAGGUGAGGUGGCUCACACCUGUAAUCCCAGCACUUCAGGAGGUGGAGGCAGGAGGAUUGCUUGAGCCUAGGAGUCAGAGACCAACCUGGGCAAUACAGUGAGACUCAUCUCAAAAAAAGAAGAAGAAAAAGAAAAAAAAAAUUAAGCUGCACAGCUCUCCCUCUCCCUCUCCCUCUCCCUCUGCCUCUCCCUCUCCCUCUCCCUCUCCCUCCACGGUCUCCCUCUGAUGCCGAGCCGAAGCUGGACUGUACUGCUGUACUGCUGCCAUCUCGGCUCACUGCAACCUCCCUGCCUGAUUCUCCUGCCUCAGCCUGCCGAGUGCCUGCGAUUGCAGGCGCGCGCCGCCACACCUGACUGGUUUUCGUAUUUUUUUGGUGGAGACGGGGUUUCGCUGUGUUGGCUGGGCUGGUCUCCAGCUCCUAACCGUGAGUGAUCCGCCAGCCUCGGCCUCCCGAGGUGCCGGGAUUGCAGAUGGAGUCUGGUUCACUCAGUGCUCAAUGGUGCCCAGGCUGGAGUGCAGUGGCGUGAUCUCGGCUCACUACAACCUCCACCUCCCAGCCGCCUGCCUUGGCCUCCCAAAGUGCCUAGAGUGCAGCCUCUGCCCGGCCGCCACCCCGUCUGGGAAGUGAGGAGUGUCUCUGCCUGGCUGCCCAUCGUCUAGGACGUGAGGAGCCCCUCUGCCUGGCUGCCCAGUCUGGAAAGUGAGGAGCGUCUCUGCCCGGCCGCCAUCCCAUCUAGGAAGUGAGGAGCGUCUCUGCCUGGCCGCCCAUCGUCUGAGAUGUGGGGAGCGCCUCUGCCCCACUGCCCCGUCUGGGAUGUGAGGAGCGCCUCUGCCCGGCCGCGACCCCAUCUGGGAGGUGAGGAGCGUCUCUGCCCAGCCGCCCCGUCUGAGAAGUGAGGAGUCCCUCCGCCUGGCAACCGCCCCGUCUGAGAAGUGAGGAGCUCCUCCGCCCGGCAGCUGCCCCAUCUGAGAAGUGAGGAGCCCCUCUGCCCGGCAGCCACCCCAUCUGGGAAGUGAGGAGCGUCUCCACCCGGCAGCCACCCCGUCCGGGAGGGAGGUGGGGGUCAGCCCCCGCCAGGCCAGCCGCCCGGUCCGGGAGGGAGGUGGGGGGGUCAGCCCCCCGCCCGGCCAGCCGCCCUGUCUGGGAGGUGAGGGGCGCCUCUGCCCGGCCGCCCCUACUGGGAAGUGAGGAGACCCUCUGCCCAGCCACCACCCCGUCUGGGAGGCGUACCCAACAGCUCGUUGAGAACGGGCCAUGAUGACAAUGGCAGUUCUGUGGAGUGGAAAGGGGGGAAAGGUGGGGAAAAGAUUGAGAAAUCGGAUGGUUGCCGUGUCUGUGUAGAAAGAAGUAGACAUGGGAGACUUUUCAUUUUGUUCUGUACUAAGAAAAAUUCUUCUGCCUUGGAAAAAAAAAAAAAAAGAAACUGGUAAAAAAAAAAAAAUUAAGCUGCACAUAGGCAAUUUUUUUUUUUAAAUCUUUGAUUCCUAUCUCACAUCUUAUAUAAAAAUUAACUCAAAAUGGAUCACAGACCUAAAUGUAAAACAAAAUGUUGCAAUUUUUAGGAAAAAACAUAGGAGAAAAUCUCUAAGAUCAAGGACUAGGCAAAGGGAUUUUUAGACUUCAGAUCAAAAGCAGACUCCACAAAUGAAAAAAAUUGAUAAACUGGACCUCAUCAAAAUUUAAAAGUUUGUUUUAUAAAAGAACCUGUGAAAAAGAUGAAAAAUUAAAGUACAGGUUGAGCUAAAAUAGUUGCAAACCACACAUCCAACAAAGAACCUAUAUGUAGUAUGUAUAAAGAAUUCUCAAAACUCAGCAGUAAAAAGAACAAAAUCUCAAUCAGAAUAUGGGCAAAAAAACAUGAACAGAUAUUUCACCAAAUAAAAUAUACAAAAGGCAAAUAAGCACAUUAAAAGAUGUUCCACAUAAUUGGCCAUCAGUGAAAUGCAAAUUAAAACCACAAUGAUGUAACACUACAUACCUACCACAGCGGCUAAAAUAAAAAAUAGUGACAACACCAAAUGCUGGCAAGAAUGUGGAGAAAGUGGAUCACUUGUGCAAAGCUGGUGGGAAUGCAAAAGGACACAGCCAUUCUGGAAAACAGUCUUAUAAUUUGUUAUAAAACUAAACAAUACACUCAUCAUACAACCCAGCAAUCACACUCUUAGGCAUUCAUCCCAGAGAAAUGAAGACAUAUUCACACGAAACCUGGACACAAACCUUCAUAAUAAUCAUCUGUAAUAGUCAAAAAGGGGAAACAACUCUGAUGCUCUCCAACAGGUGAAAGGUAUAGAAACCAUAGUAUAUCCAUACUAUAAAAUCCUGCAUAGCAAUAUAAAGGAACACAUUAUUGACACUUGUAAAGGUUUCAAAGGAAUUAUGAAAUAUAUCCAAUCCC